rnacentral:tRNA from 1 species
GGGGUUGUGGCUCAGAGGUAGAGCACUUGCCUAGCAUGUAUGAGGCACUGGGUUCAAUCCUCAGCACCACA